CGGCAGUAAAGGACAAGGAGGGAAAGACAUCGGAGACGCUCUUUACCUUUCAUUCUCCACGCUUCUAAAUCCAGACCAGCCAGUGAACCCAGCAACUAAGGGAGGAGAGAGUAGUUGAAAGGAGAAGAAUCCUUACAGUAUGGAAGUAUGCCAUUUGGCUCAUCAAGUCUACAGUGACCCGCUGAAGAGCAUCCCACCUAGACACACACCAUACCCCUGUAAAUCUGCAUUCCCCAUGGCUAAGCCACCUAGCCUGCCCAUUCCUGAACACUAUGGUCAAUUUGGCAUGGCCAAUCCACCUUACAUGCACACCUCUGGGCUGUGGGAAGAAACUGGA